rnacentral:lncRNA from 1 species
GAGCCUCUUUUAUCCUGGGAAUUAUCACAUUUUAUCCUGGGAAUGAGCACCUUAAUUACAGGAAUCAGCACCUUCUAUCUUGGGAAUCAGCACCUUUAUCCCGGGAAUGAGCAGAUCCCCAGCUGGGAGUGUCCUGGAUGAGGGGGAGAGGUGGGAGCAGAGGGAGGGGAGUCCCUGCUCUUUGGCUUUUGGGAGCUUUGUGAGCUGUGGCUCGGGCUUGGUCCUCAGAGCAGAGCAUCCCCAGAGGUGCUGAUCCCACAGGGACAUUCUCCAUGGAUGUCCUGGUGGUGGCUGAUCCUACAAGGACAGCUCCUGUGGUGGCUGAUCCUACAAGGACAGCUCCUGUGGUGGCUGAUCCUAGUAGGACAUCCCCAUGCUGUCCCAGUGGCGGUGGCGGCGGUGGCAGGAGAGGAUCCCGUCGUUGUUGCCGGGGGGGGUGGCGAGGGGCAGGGCUGCGCUGUCGGGUGGGACUGGGGGGGUCUCUGGUGGCUUUAGUAGAGCUGGAGCUGCAGCUUCAUCCUCAGUGCCUGGCCCAGCUCCCCCGCCAAGUAGUCGAGGUGGUUGUCAGCCUCGAGUUUGUGCAGUUCCCGCCGGCGGGGCAGGCCCACGCUGACGAUCUCCAGCACGUAGGUGCCCGGCAGGAUUUUCUUGCGGCCCAGGUGCAGGAAGCUGAGCCCGUCCCUGUGGUGGAUGCGGAACAGCCCCUCCUCGUUUCCCUGGGCGAUGGCGUAGCGCACGCGGUUCUCCAGCGGCUCCAGCGCCGGCAGCAGCUCCAGGAUGUGCUCCCUGUGCGCCAGCUCCGACAGGUUCAGCGCCAUGGACAGCGGCGCCUCCACGUCCAUGCUGGCCAGGUUCACCUCGUGAUCCUGCUGGGAACAGCAAAAUUAACACACCAACAGCACAGGUUUGUGCCCAAAGAGGAGAUACAGGAGUCCUUCUGA